UGUAGUUAACCCGAGUGGGCCCUUGGAAACAUACACCUUCUGUGUUUACUGACAGCUGCUGGGUAAAGUCAGCAGCUGCUGUUUAGAAUGUGCAAGAUACUGAUAAAGUAGUAAAGAUUCACUGGGGGUAAUAUUAUUGGGGGGGAAAUAGUAAUUCUCCGAUUACAAAAUGGACAGAGGACCCGAACAGACAUUUUUCCAAAGAAGACCUACGGAUGGCCAACACGAAAAGGCGCUCAACGCCACUCAUCAUCAGGAAAACGCGAAUCAAACGACUAUGCCGCGUCACACCUAUUUGAACAGCUAGUCUCAAAAGAUAAGAGGUCCUUCCAGCACCGACUCCAAGAAGAGCAGGACGUCCCUUCACCAAGGUGGACACAAGUUUGAAUCUCAGCUGAGCGGGACCUGUCGUCCGAGCCCUCCCAGGACCCAGACAGGAGCCGUUCGCUGGCCAGCAGGAAGCUGUCUUUUUGGGGUGACUGGCGUGUAGCUAAGGGAGCUGCUUCUGUGCAGAGGUAUUUGCACCCGGCAACACAAAAGAAGGAGAAACAGGAGGCAUCGGCCCCAGCCCUUCCCGGGAACUUUGCCAGACCCUUUGGGGAGCAAGACCGUCUCCCCGGAUCCACGUGGAAGCCAGCAAGCCCGCAGCAGCUUGGGGGCUCCAGGGUGCACCGCACCCAGCUCCCAGGAGACACAGAUGCCAGGCAAACGGAGGGUGCCAUCAAACACAUACACUUGUCCCUGACAAGUGACCCGUGAGCUGCCCCUGUGACUCCAGAAAGGCACAGGGAGAGGCCAUCCCCACCCAGGGGAGCCCCGGGCCCCAGACCACUGAGGGGCGGUGCUCACUGGGCCUCAUAUGCACCCUGGGGCGUCUGGGCCACAAGAACCACGUGACUCAGACUCAGUGCUCACCGGCGAACUUGUCUCAGACUCAGUUGCCCCAGGUGUGAAAGGGCACCGAGAGCAGAUGACGGGCAAGUUCGAGCCUCAGCGUGGCCACGUACUGGCCGCAAAACUCGAAGCGAUUCACCGUAUCUCUCUGUGCCUGGGUUUUCCAAUAGGUGUAACAUUCGUUCCUA